rnacentral:rRNA from 1 species
CAGCCGCCGCGGUAAUACGGAGGGGGCUAGCGUUGUUCGGAAUUACUGGGCGUAAAGCGCACGUAGGCGGAUAUUUAAGUCAGGGGUGAAAUCCCGCAGCUCAACUGCGGAACUGCCUUUGAUACUGGGUAUCUUGAGUAUGGAAGAGGUUAGUGGAAUUGCGAGUGUAGAGGUGAAAUUCGUAGAUAUUCGCAGGAACACCAGUGGCGAAGGCGGCUAACUGGUCCGAUACUGACGUUGAGGCACGAAAGCGUGGGGAGCAAACAGGAUUAGAUACCCCUGUAGUCCCUGUCUCUUAUAC